rnacentral:lncRNA from 1 species
UUCAAAUCUCUAAUCUCUCUCCAAUCAAAUUAUCUUCACUACUAUUAAACAAUCAAACAAGAACUUCACUAAACGCACCCCGCAAACCGUACAGAGACCCAAUACCACCACAUGAUCAGGCCCACUAAUCACAAUCCAACGGCUAGCCUUGUAAUCUGAUACGUUUCUGGUGUGCACUUACCGAUUUAACUUCGCUGACCGUACUCCACCGCGGAGAAAAAUAGAGACCCCACACGCACUCGACCAAACCCCCUACAAUCACGCAUCACAUAGGCCAUGCAAAGAAAAAAAAACAUGCGUAUAUCCCAUAAAAAUAGAAACAGAUCCCCAGGUUGAUCGCCUCGCCGCACGGAAGCUUCGUCGCCUUGGUGGACGACGACCUCGCCGCCCGGCAGCCGAGUCCCCUUCCUGGUCGGCGCCCUCGCCGCCCUGUACCCACCCAUCAAGUGCGUGGUUGUUCCUCAUCACCUCCUCACUGAGGAGGAUCCCCUCGCCGCACGGAAGCAUCAUCGCCUUGGUGGACGACGACCUCGCCGCCCGGCAGCAGCGUCGCCUUCCCAGUUGGCGCCCUUGCUACCGUGUACCCACCCUCAAGUGGGUGGCUGUUCCUCCAUCACUUCCUCACUGCGGACAGGCCGUCGGCUCCCUGCACCUCUUUCGCCAUCCUCUGAAACAUCAGGCAAGAUUUUAAUACAUAGUAUACAUCUCUUCUUCUUUUCUUUUACUUAGAAUGGACAGUAAUAUUUACAUGGUGCGCUUCAUGCCUCUAUCCAAUCAAUGUUCUGACUAUAAUGAGCAGAUUCUG